UAGAACGCAUUCGGAAUCAGGCCGAAAGGUCUGCGCCAGCGAUGGCCGGUUGCGAGGUGCUGCAUGGUUGUCGUCAGCUCGUGCCGUGAGGUGUCGGGUUAAGGUCCCAUAACGAGCGCAACCCCUACCUGCUAGUUGCCAGCGGGUCAUGCCGGGGACUCUAGCGGAACUGCCAGCGUAAGCUGCGAGGAAGGUGGGGAUGACGUCAAAUCAGCACGGCCCUUACGUCCAGGGCUACACACGUGUUACAAUGGCCAGUACAGAGGGCAGCCACCCCGCGAGGGGGCGCUAAUCCUAAAAGCUGGUCCCAGUUCGGAUCGGAGUCUGCAACCCGACUCCGUGAAGCUGGAUUCGCUAGUAAUCGCGCAUCAGCCACGGCGCGGUGAAUACGUUCCCGGGCCUU
rnacentral:rRNA from 1 species